UACGUGGGGUGCGAGCGUUGUUCGGAAUUACUGGGCGUAAAGCGUGUGUAGGCGGCUCAUUAAGUCUGAUGUGAAAUCUCUGGGCUUAACCCAGAAACUGCAUCGGAAACUGGUGAGCUAGAAUUCGGGAGAGGGUCGUGGAAUUCCUGGUGUAGAGGUGAAAUUCGUAGAUAUCAGGAGGAACACCGGUGGCGAAGGCGGCUCACUGGACCGGUACUGACGCUGAUGCGCGAAAGCGUGGGGAGCAAACGGG
rnacentral:rRNA from 1 species